ACGAACGCUGGCGGUGUGCUUAACACCUGCAAGUCGAACGGUAAGGCCCUUUCGGGGGUACACGAGUGGCGAACGGGUGAGUAACACGUGAGUAACCUGCCCUCAUCUCUGGGAUAACAGUCGGAAACGGUUGCUAAUACUGGAUAUGAGCUUGCAAGGCAUCUUGUGGGUUGGAAAGAUUUUUUUUGGUUGGGGAUGGACUCGCGGCCUGUCAGCUUGUUGGUGAGGUAGUGGCUCACCAAGGCUUCGACGGGUAGCCGGCCUGAGAGGGCGACCGGCCACAUUGGGACUGAGAUACGGCCCAAACUCCUACGGGAGGCAGCAAUGGGGAAUAUUGCACAAUGGACGGAAGUCUGAUGCAGCAACGCCGCGUGCGGGAUGACGGCCUUCGGGUUGUAAACCGCUUUCAAUUGUGACGAAGCUUUUUUGUGACGGUAGCAGUAGAAGAAGCACCGGCUAACUACGUG
rnacentral:rRNA from 1 species